rnacentral:rRNA from 1 species
AUUGAGCGCUGGCGGCAGGCCUAACACAUGCAAGUCGAGCGGAUGACGGGAGCUUGCUCCUUGAUUCAGCGGCGGACGGGUGAGUAAUGCCUAGGAAUCUGCCUGGUAGUGGGGGACAACGUUUCGAAAGGAACGCUAAUACCGCAUACGUCCUACGGGAGAAAGCAGGGGACCUUCGGGCCUUGCGCUAUCAGAUGAGCCUAGGUCGGAUUAGCUAGUUGGUGGGGUAAUGGCUCACCAAGGCGACGAUCCGUAACUGGUCUGAGAGGAUGAUCAGUCACACUGGAACUGAGACACGGUCCAGACUCCUACGGGAGGCAGCAGUGGGGAAUAUUGGACAAUGGGCGAAAGCCUGAUCCAGCCAUGCCGCGUGUGUGAAGAAGGUCUUCGGAUUGUAAAGCACUUUAAGUUGGGAGGAAGGGCAGUAAGCUAAUACCUUGCUGUUUUGACGUUACCGACAGAAUAAGCACCGGCUAACUCUGUGCCAGCCGCCGCCGUAACAC